rnacentral:rRNA from 1 species
UCCUACCCGAGGCGCAGUGAGGAAUAUUGGACAAUGGAGGCAACUCUGAUCCAGCCAUAGCCGCGUGCAGGAAGACUGCCCUAUGGGUUGUAAACGAUUUUGGUCAGGAAGAAACAUCUCAAGUGUGAGAGCUUGACGGUAC